AAAUUUCUCAUGCUUGUCGAUCGAGCAGAAGAAAGAUAUGGUUUCCAAGGCUUUCCUUGUGUUUGGUGUUCUCUUGGCCUCUCUUCUGAUCCUCUUGGAGGUGGCAACAGCUAGGGAGAUGACACAGAAAACUCGUGAGACUUCAGUCUUCUCCCCUCUCUCUUCUCCAAGUGAUCAUAUGACCAUGGUUUGUUAAAUAUUAUGCACUUAAGAACCCAAGGUCAUUAGACCAUAUUGGAGCACCUCUAUAUAUCAGAUAUGCGUGGUCCCCAUUAUCUAAUGAUAUGAACAUCACACGCUCUAAUGAUCCAAUCGAGUUGCCCAAGGCAUGCAUAUCCCAUGCAUGCAUGUGUUCCAAAGGCCAUGGAGAUGUCAAAAUUAAAACGGUGUUUUUACUUCAUUGUAACUAAUAAGACUAUUGUUUCACAUGCAGAAGAGAAGAACGUGGAGGAAGAGGGUGUUGGGGACCAGAAGAACUCUCGCGGAUACAAAGGUGGCUACUCUGGUGGCGGAACGAACGGCGGCUAUCCUAGUGUUGGAUACGACUGUGGCUAUCCCCGUGGCGGUGGUGGAAACCACGGAGGUUAUCAUGGUGGUGGUGGUGGUGGAAAGAAAGGCGGCUAUCCUGG
rnacentral:lncRNA from 1 species